rnacentral:rRNA from 1 species
AACGAACGCUGGCGGCAUGCCUAACACAUGCAAGUCGAACGAGACCUUCGGGUCUAGUGGCGCACGGGUGCGUAACGCGUGGGAACCUGCCCUUAGGUUCGGAAUAACUCCCCGAAAGGGGUGCUAAUACCGGAUAAUGUCUUCGGACCAAAGAUUUAUCGCCUUUGGAUGGGCCCGCGUUGGAUUAGCUAGUUGGUAGGGUAAAAGCCUACCAAGGCGACGAUCCAUAGCUGGUCUGAGAGGAUGAUCAGCCACACUGGGACUGAGACACGGCCCAGACUCCUACGGGAGGCAGCAGGGGGGAAUUUUGGACAAUGGGCGAAAGCCUGAUCCAGCAAGGCCGCGGGAGUGAUGAAGGCCUUAGGGUUGUAAAGCUUUUUUCCCCGGGAUGAAAAGGACAGUACCGGGAAAAUAAGCCCCGGCUAACCCCGU